CGGGACAUAGCUCAGCCUGGUAGAGCGCUGCGUUCGGGACGCAGAGGUCGCAGGUUCAAAUCCUGUUGUCCCGACCA
rnacentral:tRNA from 1 species